rnacentral:rRNA from 1 species
GACGAACCGUGCAAACGUUAUUCGGAAUCACUGGGCUUAAAGCGUGCGUAGGCGGCUAAGAAAGUUGGGUGUGAAAUCCCUCGGCUCAACCGAGGAAUUGCGCUCAAAACUACUUAGCUUGAGGGAGUUAGAGGUGAGCGGAACUAAUGGUGGAGCGGUGAAAUGCGUUGAUAUCAUUAGGAACACCGGUGGCGAAAGCGGCGUCACUGGGACUCUUCUGACGCUGAGGCACGAAAGCUAGGGGAGCGAACGGG